CACCGGGUGGAUGAAAACACAUGGAGUCAUGAAAACAAACCAGCUCGGCUGGAUUCCUUGAUUGUAUUAAUCUGGAUGUGAUGGUGGCUGAAUACUCGGCUGGGACCGCUGUGGGUUUCAUCAGCUGUCCGCAGCGCUGCCUCGCCGCAGGUUACCGGAAGCCACCUGACUGGAGUCCUGACAAAGAGUGAUGGCCUCGGCUCGGAAAUAUCCAGCGUUCCACUGGACUGGAGUUGCAUCCCUUAAGAAAAUGAUCAAGAUGGCGACGGACAAAAUGACAAGCUCGAGGCUUCAAGGCGGAAACCUAGAAACCAACGGGUGUCGCCAGGGCCUCUCCCUUCCCUUUCGCAGCACUGACUGAUAAAAUCAAGGAAUCCAGCCGAGCCGGUUUGUUUUCGUGACUCAAGAAAUACAACUUCAGGUCAACUGUGCCACAACUGGACUGGCAACCAGGAAUGUAGUGACUACUUCCCUUCUGAAGCACUAUACUACAUUUUUAAUGCAGUAUAUAUAUAAAAAAAGACUGCAAACUUUCAAGAAACAGCCAUGAGUCUCAUGAGCUUCGAUCCCGCGCUGUACAUUCAUCGUCUUACCAUGAAGAAUUCAGCGUUUAGCUCGUGCGCUGUGGAUGGAGACGCAGGUUCGAUGACACAGCGCCGUCACCCGACAACACCGUCAGUGGGACAAAAGAGGGGAGAUGGAAGAAUCAAGUUGCAUCACGAUGUAAAGUGGAAGCUACGCCCCCCCCGGGGCCCACAGGUCACCGAUACACAUGUUGAAAGACGGUGCACGAAGGUGGGACCAGCGUUUUAUUGUGGCAUAGGAUGCACAUUACAUGACAAGGAGAGCAGCUGGAGGGUUUGGUCACAGUCGUUGCACUGGGGAUGAUUUUGUUUGUUCAGGAGAAGCACAAGUUCUGGUCCUUCCUGUGUCCUGACGCGCAUGCACAUGUUGUUGCGUUAAACCAGGAGCAGGUUUCCCGGUCAGAGAGGAUCCGAUGACGGCCGGCCGGGAACCAGAUCCAGCCGGGCGUUUAUCCGGGUGUUUAUCCGGCAGCUCGGCGGCCAAAUGAGACGCGUGGCCGUUUCCAUGGAUGUGUUGUUUACAGAGGGAGGGUGUGAAAGGCUCUUACCACAUCACUAAUACAAGAGGACUCUUAUAUAUUAGACAAGGUUUAAGGACCAACAACUGGAACUUAACUGGCCAAUGAUUUUACAGAUGUUCCCAAAAUGAGUGACACGUUAGGUGUCCAAAGCCUGUACUGUUUAUUAAAUGUUACCUCAAUUUACCUUUUUUAAAUUGUAAGAAUUCCAAAAUAAUCAAAAUUGAGAAUAUGUUUUAUGAAGAACUCUCACCACCUGGAGCAACACGUCACCGUGGUCACAAGUCAGAUAGUGUGAUGCACAGUUGUCUAAUAUGAUUUUUGACCUGCUGAUCUUUAACAUUGCCAAGUUUUAAUCCGGAACCAGGAAUCCGGAACAUUUAUUGCCAAAAUAUGUUAGACAUAAGGAAUUUGACAUGGCGGUUGUGCAUAACAUCGGACAGUAAGGCAAUAACAUCAAGACUAGAUUAGUGGUUUAAACAACCCUCUAUUUAAUACCGAUACCCCCCCCCUUGAACUCCACUCAAAACCACCUCGGAGCCAGAACCCUGCAGGCCUUUUUGGAAGGAGAACCAGGACUGAGUGAAAAAGACUGAGCGAUUUUUUUUUAAGUCUGGAAACUUCAGGUGAAAAUUCCUCAUAGUGUAAAAGUCUUACCCAGGACAGUUCUUCCCUCUUGGAAGGUUUUUUUUUUCGUUUUUCCUGUGCCGAUGGUGGGUUUCGGGACAGAGGAUGUCGUAUGUGUACAGACUGUAAAGCCCUCUGAGGCAAAUUUGUAAUUUGCGAUUUUGGGCAAUAAAAUACAAAAUA
ensembl:lncRNA